GUUCGUCGGUGCCUCGGUCACGUCUCGAGAGAGUUCGAUCCUGGCGCAGACGACGCUGGCGGCGUGCUUAACACAUAGCAAGUCGAACGGAAAGGCCAGUGCUUGCACUGGUACUCGAGUGGCGAACGGGUGAGUAACACGUGGGUGAUCUGCCUUGUACUCUGGGAUAAGCUUGGGAAACUGGGUCUAAUACCGGAUAGUAGCUGCCUUUAGUGUGGUGGUUGGAAAGUUUUUUCGGUGCAAGAUGAGCUCGCGGCCUAUCAGCUUGUUGGUGGGGUAAUGGCCUACCAAGGCGUCGACGGGUAGCCGGCCUGAGAGGGUGUACGGCCACAUUGGGACUGAGAUACGGCCCAGACUCCUACGGGAGGCAGCAGUGGGGAAUAUUGCACAAUGGGCGGAAGCCUGAUGCAGCGACGCCGCGUGGGGGAUGACGGCCUUCGGGUUGUAAACUCCUUUCGACAGGGACGAAGCUUUUGCGACGGUACCUGUAUAAGAAGCACCGGCUAACUACGUG
rnacentral:rRNA from 1 species